CCCCUCCCCUUCCCUCCAUCGACUGGGUGUCCGACCCGAGCGAGGAUUUUCACGAAAACAUCAACCGCAGACUGCGUAUCACUGCCAGCGGGGACGGACCCGACGCUAUGGACCUAACGGCGUGACAACCACGUCUAUGGCGACUUUAAAGUUGGACAACAUUGUUUUUGGCAUUAGAGGGAGACGUUAGACGCGCUGUUAAGAUUCAGACGGCGAUGACCGCGGUAUCACUUGUGAGAUAGAGAGACAGAGAGAGAGGGGCCGGAGUGGACUCCCUCCCUCGGUAGAACCGUUCCGCCCGAUGGAGGCUGACGGGACCUUUGCAGCGAGCUCCAGGCCCGGAAUGUCACCUGUGAAACGUCGACACCUCGCCGGAGGACGUAAUUACUGAGGCAAAACAACAAAAAACUAAACGCGAAUAUCCGUUUGCGCUUUCGACGAAUUGUUUGACAACUUUCUCGCUGGCUUGUGCGCGAAAAGAAAAGUUAGCAGGUCGACGUUAGCCGCAGGAGGCAACAUGACCAUCACAGAUAUGACUUAACGAGGUCUCCAACGCCUCAGGUAACUUAGGACAGGAGAGAGAGAGACCCAGCACCCAGCGGACGUCUUUCUUCGGAUGAGCUUGUUUUAUAACGUACACAUCAGCAAGUUGCCUCCAAACUAUCUUGACUGCGAGAACUGUUUUUUUUUUCUCCCCCCUAUAAAAAGACUAUUUUUUUUGUCGCCUUCAAAAAAAUAAAUAAAACAGAAUAAUCAUGUCAUUCAAAGAGAAUCCUUGCCGGAAAUUUCAGGCCAACAUUUUCAACAAAAGUAAAUGCCAGAACUGCUUUAAGCCCAGAGAGUCACAUUUGCUUAACGACGAAGACUUGAAUCAGGCGAAACCUAUAUAUGGAGGCUGGUUGCUCCUGGCACCCGAGGGAACUAAUUUCGACAAUCCCUUACACAGAUCUCGGAAAUGGCAGAGAAGGUUCUUUAUCCUCUACGAGCAUGGCUUACUUCGCUAUGCACUGGACGAAAUGCCGAGCACUCUGCCCCAGGGUACCAUCAACAUGAACCAGUGCUCUGACGUCAUCGACGGCGAGUCCAGGACGGGGCAGAAGAACUCGCUGUGCAUCCUGACCCCUGAGAAGGAGCACUUCAUACGGGCUGAGUGUAAAGAAAUUAUCAAUGGAUGGCAGGAGGCUCUGACCGUGUACCCCAGGACCAACAAGCAGAAUCAGAAGAAAAAACGCAAGGUUGAUCCACCCACUCAUCAGGGUGGAGUAACUCCAAGCCAGUGUUUUUCCACUGAAGACAUGAAUGGACAUCCAGAGCCCGGUCCUGCUAAGGUAACGGUGACCAGCAGCAGCAGUGGAGGCAGUAUCCCAUGCUUGCCCAGCAGUAUCGCCAGCGCCGAGCGUGUCCCUAUGAGCCGUGCCACUCUGUGGCAGGAGGAGAGCCGCUGGAGCAGGGCCACCAUCCCCUGCAGCCGCAGUGCCUCCUGUCUCAGCCAGUUGAGCCAGAGCCAGCCGGACUCCAGUAUCACUACUCAAGAUGAUGGUGGCACUGCGAGCACUGGACGAAAGGUGCGCGUGGAGAGCGGUUACUUUUCCCUGGAGAAGACCAAGUCGGAGCCUUCUCCACAGUCAGAACAUCAACCACAGCCUCCCCAACAUCUGCCCCUGUCCUCGUCAGCAUCAUCCUCCUCUUUAGGACCUCCCAGUUCAAGGUACAACUCCGAAUCAGAACCCCAAACCUCCCCUAAUCAACCUUCCCAAGACCCUCUCCCCUCUCCAGGUGCACUUGUUUCCCCAAGCUACUCCACCAUCAGCUCCUCCCAGAGCUCGCUGGACUCUGAGCCUAGUGGGACUACACCCACCUGGGAGGGUCGCAGUGGUGGUGGAGGGAGCACUAGUAGUGUCAGUGCCGGUGGAGGAGGCAGAGUUGGCCGGAGUGGCAGGGAGUACACAACCCUGUCAGAUGUGCCUCGGGCUCGCAGACUGAGCUACCGCGAAGCCUUCCGCUCUGAGAAAAAGCGUCAAGAGUUGAGGGCACGCACAAGGAGUCCUGGGAGAGAGGAGGUGGCUCGGCUCUUUGGGGAGGAGCGCAGGCGGUCUCAAAUCAUCGGCCGGUUCGAGGAUGGUCAGUAUGUUGAGCGUAUGGACACAAGCGGCUCCAAUGAACCCUCAGCUAAUACAGUGCUAAUCCAGAGACAAGGCCGCAGCGAGAGACGCUAUCUGCCUAACAAACAUGAGAUGUCACUGGAUUCAGGAAAGGACCGUUCAGUCCCUGAUGUGUCCAGCUCCAGUUUAGUCAACUUAAGAAGAGCCAAGUCAUUGGACCGCAGAGUCACAGAGUCCUCAAUGACGCCAGAUCUGCUGAACUUCAAAAAAGGAUGGAUGACAAAGCUGUAUGAGGAUGGAAUGUGGAAGAAGCACUGGUUUGUCCUGACAGACCAGAGUCUGAGGUACUACAAGGACUCGAUAGCUGAGGAGGCUUCAGAAAUGGAUGGGGAGAUUGACCUUUCCACAUGUUAUGAUGUCAAAGAGUUUCCAGUCCAGAGGAACUACGGUUUCCAAAUACUCUGUAAAGAUGGAGCGAGCACCCUGUCGGCCAUGACCUCUGGAAUACGCCGCAACUGGAUUCAGGCCAUCAUGAAGAACGUGCGACCCAUUAUUGCCCCCGACGUCACCCGGAAAAACAUCUCUCUGAAACUAUCCGUUCUGAAGCCCAGAUCUCUGCCUGAUGGGACGAUAAAACGUCAUGUGAUGCUGGAGCCGUGUCCACAGGCCACCCCUGAGACAAGCCCCGGUCCUGAGGUCCCUAAGACUGACGUCCACAGACAGCCUGCUGGCAACCACGUCGCUCCCGCUUCCUCUGAGCCACGUAAGAGCAGAGUUCGCGAACGCCGACGAGACGGCCGCUCAAAGACCUUUGACUGGUCUGAGUUCAAAAUGCAACAGACGGAGAAGCCUGCAAAAGAACGAGCAGACACAGUUGACCUCAGCUCAUCUUUCUCCACAACCUCCUCCUACUGCUCUCCCUCUUCUUCUCCUUCAUCAUUAGCGUCCUCUCCUGUCUCUACCUCCUCCCUCUUAACCUCAUCUAUAUCAGGUGCUCACCCACCUUCUAUGACAGAUGAAGCCGAAAAGGAGAAUGUUAGGAGGGGCAUCUCUCCGCACAGCACAGCCAGUGCGACACACAUGCCAAAUACUGUUACUGUCACUGUAAUUUCAACGCUAAAUGCUCCACCGCCGGUACGACCAUCGACAACUGAAAGCCAAGAGCAAGGAAAGAUGGAAGUAGACCACCCUACUGCUAUGUGUCCUCCAAGUGAAGAGAAGGACAACAGACCUCCAGACGUUCAAGAGGAGAUUGAACAGCGAUGGCAUCAGGUGGAGACAACACCGUUAAGAGAAGAGAAGCAAGUGCCCAUCACCACAGCUUCAGUAAACUCUGAUAGAUUGCCGGCAAAUGAACUUGCUGCGCUGCUAGACAAAGAGUUGGGACAGAAGCAGAGGGAGCUGGACAAACUACAGAAGCAGAACAACCUUUUAAAAGAGCAACUGGAGGAUGCACUAGGAAGAGAACAAAGUGCCAGAGAGGGCUAUGUGCUGCAGAGUGCAACAACCCCUUCCUCUUCGCCGCACAAAGUGCCAUGGCAACACUUGCACAAACUUAAUCAAGAUUUGCAGGGAGAAUUGGAGUCCCAAAAACGCAAGCAGGACCUUGCUCAGCAGCAAAUCCGGUCGUUAAAGAGAAGUUACACUGAAGCCCAGGAUGCCGUUGACCGCCAUGAAGCCGAUAUUCAAGCUCUGCAGACUAAACUUGCAUCUGCAAUGGCCGAAAUCUUAGCUAGCGAACAAGCUGUGGCCAGAAUGCGGAAUGAACUCAAGCUAGAGCAGGAGCGCUCAAAAGAACAAGAAGAGGAAUAUGGCCGGAGCGAGGCCACCUUACGAGCCCAGCUAAAGGACAGUGAAGACAGACUCCGUGAAGUCGAAGCCAGUCUCUUGGAGAGAAACCAGGCCCUUAGACAACUAGAGCGCCAGCAGGCCCUCCAACGAGACCACAUGAGAGAAAUACAGAGGUUGCAGGAGAGGCUGCAGGAGGUUACUGCUCGACUAAUAGCUACUGAAGAGGGUCAGGCUCUGAAGGAGGAGCGCCUGAGGAACGAGCAGUAUAGCAUGCAAGAAAGUCAUGAGAGGGAAAGACAGAAUUUGUGUAGACGAUUAGCUGAAGCUGAAACUGCUCGUAAAGAAAUAGAGAACAGACUGUUGGAGGCUGAGCAGCAGGUGGAAGCCUUGCUGAGAGGGAGGCAGGCUUCGGGAAGUAAAGAUUGCAGAGAUGAAAUGCUGAAGCUACAAGAGCAGCUUGCGCAAAAGACUGACAUGGUUGAGUCACUGAGGGAAAGUGUGCGUAGGCUGGAGGAAGAGAAAAGCCAUCUCACUUGCCGCUGUCAGGAGCUUAUCAACCAGAUUGCAGAAGCAGACCGAGAGGUGAACAAGCUUCGCAAUCGUCUGGAAACUGAAGAAUCUGAUUACUACACUCUUGAGCACUCGUAUGAGAGGGCUACUCAAGAGUUUCAGAAAAUUAGCCAGUUCCUCAGAGAAAAAGAAGAAGAGAUCCGACAGACCAAGGAAAUGUAUGAGAGGCUGGUGGAACGCAAGGAAGAAGACUUAAAAGAGGCCCUUGUUAAAAUGACUGCCCUUGGCAACAGCUUGGAGGAAACUGAACAGAAGCUGCAAGCUAAGGAGGACCUUCUUUGUCAAAUGAGUCAAAGCCUCUUAGACAAAGUUGGGCCGUGUAAUGCUGAGAAAGAUCUGCAAGCCAAGCUUGUGGUCGCAGAGGACCGCAUUGCAGAGUUAGAGCAACACCUCAACGCCCUGCAAUUGGGCUACGCUGACCUGUGCUUGGAAAGGCAGCAGAUCUCUGAACAGAGCAAGAAGGGAAACAUUAAAACACCAUCCUCAUCAAACACAGAUGCUUCUCUUGACAGUACAUCCAAGAUGGACAGCUCCCCAGAUGAUAAGGAGUCUCAAGCUAAAAGACCAAGGAUACGCUUCUCCAAUAUUCAAUGCCAAAAAUACAUCACAUUCGACUGUCUGGACACUAGCCAUUUGAGCGGUAGUUUUAUAGACAAAGGACAAAAAGUUAAGCAGGGUGAAAGUGAAGACAUUGGAGUAACCGAAGGAAACUUCCCCUCUGAUAUUACAUUCCCACAUACUAAUGACCCAGAGAAGUUUAUUUCCAUCAUACAUGCUUUAGAAACUAAACUGUUAGCCACUGAAGAAAAGCUAAGAAACCUCACACAGAAUCUAGAAGUGCAACAAUCCACCCCAGCAGAGGACGGCUCUGAAACUGAUCUGAAGAUGACAGAAAAGAAGCCUUGCCCAGAAAAAGAGACUAGUGGUGGAACUGAGAGUGGUACUGCCAUUAAGCACUAUACCAAGGCCCUAGAGUGUGUGGAAAAUGGCAGAGAAAAAGUAAGGGCCGUUCUCAGUGGCUGUCAUGAUACCACUGAUGCACAGCUGCACUCAUUGUCAGAGAUAGAGAAUGAUUUGUUCAAUGCGUCAUUAUGCAUCCGACAAGGACAAAAGUCGUUGGAAGAGGAAUCACCAGUGUUGCCCCAAAAUCAAACCCCUGAGACUAUAGAUAAAGAGGCGAUGCAACUCUUUGCCAAAACCUUGUCUUUUGAGGCAGUAGUUUUGAACAAGAUGGCGUUGUUAAUACAAACUUCAAAGUCUGACCUGCUGGAAGCUCUUUCAGAGAUAUGGGAAGACAUAGAGCACAUUAAAAGGAGUGACAAAGAUUGCUUGGCUAUAGUUUAUGCUGAUGUCUUAACCAGGAAGUUGGUGUUAGAGAGUGCGUUCUGGAAAGAACUAGAGAAAGCUGAAACGGAUGUUGCUAAAUCCAAAGAAGGUAGCGUAUUAGCUGAUGUAGAUGUGGAUGCUACGGUUGUCUUUAACACAUUCAUUAAAGCAGAACUAGCCUACUCAAUUCAAAACCUUAAACUUGGCUAUGAAGAGAAAUUCAAAAUACUGAAAAAGGAGUUGGUUGAAGCCCAUAAAAACCUGCAUCAAAGGGAAAUGGCUCUUAAAGCUAUUAUCGAAGCUUCCAAAAGGCCAGAUUUGAAAGCUGUAAUAAAAGAAGUCAAAAAUAGCUUGGGGUUCGGUAAACAAAAGUUAGCUGACAUUAACCCCCCUGAACUGGCUCCCUACAUGGAACAAAUUGAAAUGGAAGAAUCUAGAGGCUUGGCUGAAGAAAUCGUAGACAGACACUUGGCUGGUGAAAUGCCCUCUUGUGGUGUUGACUCUGUUGAAUCACUACAAAAUGCACAUGAUAACCUAGCUAAUGAGCUUCAAAGACAAGCAGCAGUCCUUCAUAAAUAUGCUCAAGAGAUAGAACACGGUGGAAACCUCCCUGGACUAUCUAAAAUGAUCCAUGUUCUUUUAGGACACCAAACUUCACACAAUUUCACAAGCACAUCUAUUUGCAUGCGUGAAGCCCUCAUCCAGGCUCAAGUGGCAUAUGUGGCAUGUAGGUUACGGGCCCUUCAUGAACAAGAUUUGGGCUGGUGUAAACGGACCAGUCAGAACAUGGAUGCACUUGUGCAGCAGCAUGCUCACAACGUCACAGCAAUCCAAGAGAAAUACGAGUCGUCUUUACAAGAGGAGCGCUUGAACUUCACACAAACAGUGGCUUCUCUCCACAGAGAAAAUCAGACCCUGAAGAGUGAGAUCAGCAAACGGGUGAACCAGCUCUCCCAACAGCAGGAGCAAGUGGUCAUCCUGGAGAAACAUUAUCAGAAGGAGGCUGAAGAGCUGAAGCAAAGGCAUGAAAAAGAGCUAAGUCAAGUAGAGCAAGGCCGUGCCUCAACAGAGCUAGCCCUAAUGGAGACAGCCGCUGACAGUCAACGAAAACUAGAGGUUCUACUUGUGGACAUGGACUCCAUAGAGGAACAGCACGAGUGUCAUGUGAGGAAGCUGGAGGAGCAGUUUGAACAGAGAAUCUGUGAGCUCCAGCAUAUCCACAGAGAGGAGAUCGAAAAGUUACAUUCUCAGUAUGUAGAAAACGUUAAGCAUGCCAAAGAGUGCCAACCGGAUAAAACCAGCCCUGAGAUUUCAGAUUUGCCUCAUUGUGAUGAGGUUUCUACGCCAAUGGAAGAGGAGGAGCAGGGGAAGGGGGAAGAUGCACAUAAUAUGUCAGAAGUGGACUCGAUGCUGGUUCUGAAGGACCGAAUCCAGGAGCUGGAGACUCAGAUGAAUAGCAUGAGGGACGAACUGGAGAACAAGCACCUUGAAGGAGACGUGGCCAGCCUGAGAGAGAAAUACCAGAGAGACUUUGAAAGUCUUAAGGCUACGUGUGAACGUGGCUUUGCCGCAAUGGAAGAAACUCACCAGAAGGUGAUAGAAGACCUCCAGAGGCAGCAUCAGAGGGAGAUCUCUAAACUCAUGGAAGAGCGAGAGAGAUUAUUGGCUGAAGAGACUGCUGCCACAAUUGCUGCUAUUGAAGCUAUGAAGAAUGCUCACAAGGAGGAGCUGGAGAAGAACCAGCGCUCCCAACUGAGUGGACUGAACUCUGACAUUGAUGAACUUCGCUUGGAAUACGAAGAGGAGCUGCAGUCCAUCCACAGAGAACUGGAGGUGCUGUCUGAGCAGUACUCUCAGAAAUGUCUGGAGAACGCUCACCUGGCUCAGGCGCUGGAGGCCGAGAGGCAGGCCCUCAGGCAGUGUCAGAGAGAGAACCAGGAACUAAAUGCUCACAACCAGGAAUUAAAUAACCGACUGACCACAGAGAUCACUCGGAUGCGCUCCUGUUUCAGCGGUGAAACAGCUCUGUCACCACUUACCCAGGGCAAAGAUGUGUAUGAACUGGAGGUGUUGCUGCGAAUAAAGGAAUCAGAGAUCCAGUAUCUUAAACAGGAAAUCCAUUCUUUGAAAGAUGAGCUCCAGUCUGCUUUGAGGGACAAGAAAUAUGCCACAGACAAGUACAAGGACAUCUACACAGAACUCAGCAUCGUGAAAGCAAAGGCUGACUGCGACAUCAGCAAACUGAAGGAGAAGCUGCUCAUUGCCACAGAAGCUUUAGGGGAGAGGACUGUGGACGGCACUGUUACAUCUGGAUAUGAUAUCAUGAAAUCAAAAAGUAAUCCAGAUUUCCUGAAAAAGGAACGAUCAUCAGCCUCCAGGCAAUUACGAGGUUUAAGGUCAAAGUCUGUCACUGAACAGGUCUCAUGGGAUAGCUGACACUCUCAUUGUGGGGUGAUUCCUCCCCAACCCCCGCCCCAAGAUGUGCUAGCCUGAAAGAGGGACUAACCGUGCAAGAGCGCAUGAAGCUUUUUGAGGCAAAAGAUUCCAGAAAGAUUUGAACACCUUAAGUUUCUUUUCUGAUUCCUGCCUUUUGUGUUUGGUCACAGCUGUCCCAGCUUCAGCUUCUAUUGAAAUCUAGGCCUGGACCUUCCACUUUUAUGCCUCUGAUUCAUUUGUUAUUUCCUACUUUUUUUUUUUCUUAAGUUGAAAGAAAGGUCUACAGAAACAAUCCUGUGUACGGUUUCUUUAACAUAUAAUCUGGACAAAUAGGAGAUGUGUCAAAUAAGCUGAGGGGAUUCAUGACAGCAUUUAUCUUGAUCCUCCUGGAUGCCAAAAGAGACAGCAAUACACAUAGUAUGAGUAAUAUAUAUAUAUAUAUAUUUCCCAAUAUGAAUCAAUAUCUGCUGUACUUUAUUAUUAUAACAGUGUCUAUAUCUAAGAAUUUUUAAUGUGUUUAAUGUUGCACCAGUUCUCUUGUACAUAACUACUGGAUACGUGUAGGUUAUGGUUUGCCAUUGAUUGUUGGGGCAUCUGCUGUACUAUAACUAUGGUUUGAUUGAUAGUGAAAAACAAUGUGACGCUUAACUCGCUUACGAAUGAAAGUUUUAUAAAAUGGUGUGUCUGCGUGAAGAGGGGGAAACAGGGGUGAGAUUGCACUUAUCACUUGACUACUUGAGGAAGCUUGUUUUUAUUUGUCUCAAAUUGGUGUAGUGAAUUCAAGUCAAUUAUUGCAGUGCAACCAAACAUCCUGACUUAGGUUAUAUUUAGUGAACAGCCGUGACUCGAUGGUGAUACUGGAUUUUUUAUUAUUAUUAUUAUUAUUUCUGAAAUCCUGACUUCGUGUUUGCUCAGUUUUGACUUUGGUGUGAGAAAAUCAUCUCAUAAAAAAACUAUUUAGGACUUUGCAUGACUGUACAGUAUACUUUGAAUAGCAGAAUGAUCCUGUUGCCUCAUUUUCCUACUUUUUGCUUUAGUGUGGAACCCUUAACUCUAAAAAGCUUUGCGAGUCCUACUGUUUAGAUUGAAUUGUUUUACUGUAAGCAGCAGUCCUGAAGCACUUGGCCCAGUCCCUGACCUCACUGAAAUCUAGUCGUGCCUCAACUGAGUGAAGAAUAUAAACAUCCAUGAAACCUGUGCAGCUAUGGAUACACACUGUAUAGUAUUCAACCCACGCCUUGUACAUACAUACCACACGGAAGUCUUCUGUGUUUUGUUUUAAACUUGUACCUUGCUCACUAGCUCUAUAUGAAAUAUAUAUGAAUAUUUUUUAUUUUCAUUUGAAUGUAUAACGUCAAAUAAAUGAAGUGUUUGGAAA